rnacentral:rRNA from 1 species
AAAUUGAAGAGUUUGAUCAUGGCUCAGAUUGAACGCUGGCGGCAGGCCUAACACAUGCAAGUCGAACGGUAACAGGAAGAAGCUUGCUUCUUUGCUGACGAGUGGCGGACGGGUGAGUAAUGUCUGGGAAACUGCCCGAUGGAGGGGGAUAACUACUGGAAACGGUAGCUAAUACCGCAUAACGUCGCAAGACCAAAGAGGGGGACCUUCGGGCCUCUUGCCAUCGGAUGUGCCCAGAUGGGAUUAGCUUGUUGGUGAGGUAACGGCUCACCAAGGCGACGAUCCCUAGCUGGUCUGAGAGGAUGACCAGCCACACUGGAACUGAGACACGGUCCAGACUCCUACGGGAGGCAGCAGUGGGGAAUAUUGCACAAUGGGCGCAAGCCUGAUGCAGCCAUGCCGCGUGUAUGAAGAAGGCCUUCGGGUUGUAAAGUACUUUCAGCGGGGAGGAAGGGAGUAAAGUUAAUACCUUUGCUCAUUGACGUUACCCGCAGAAGAAGCACCGGCUAACUCCGUGCCAGCAGCCGCGGUAAUACGGAGGGUGCAAGCGUUAAUCGGAAUUACUGGGCGUAAAGCGCACGCAGGCGGUUUGUUAAGUCAGAUGUGAAAUCCCCGGGCUCAACCUGGGAACUGCAUCUGAUACUGGC